GAUGAACGCUGGCGGCGUGCCUAAUACAUGCAAGUCGAGCGAACGGACGAGAAGCUUGCUUCUCUGAUGUUAGCGGCGGACGGGUGAGUAACACGUGGAUAACCUACCUAUAAGACUGGGAUAACUUCGGGAAACCGUAGCUAAUACCGGAUAAUAUUUUGAACCGCAUGGUUCAAAAGUGAUAGACGGUCUUGCUGUCACUUAUAGAUGGAUCCGCGCUGCAUUAGCUAGUUGGUAAGGUAACGGCUUACCAAGGCAACGAUGCAUAGCCGACCUGAGAGGGUGAUCGGCCACACUGGAACUGAGACACGGUCCAGACUCCUACGGGAGGCAGCAGUAGGGAAUCUUCCGCAAUGGGCGAAAGCCUGACGGAGCAACGCCGCGUGAGUGAUGAAGGUCUUCGGAUCGUAAAACUCUGUUAUUAGGGAAGAACAUAUGUGUAAGUAACUGUGCACAUCUUGACGGUACCUAAUCAGAAAGCCACGGCUAACUACGUG
rnacentral:rRNA from 1 species